rnacentral:rRNA from 1 species
ACCCGUUGAUCCUGCGGGAGGUUGCUGCUAUUGGGAUUCGACUAAGCCAUGCAAGUCCAGGCAUUAACCGGCAGAAUGCUCAGUAACACGUCGAUAAUCUACCCUUAGGUCAGGGAUAACCUUGGUAAACUGAGGCUAACACCUGAUAUGAGAUUUUUUCUGGAAUGAUUUAUCUCUUAAAAGCAAUGCCUAAGGAUGAGUCGGCGGCCGAUUAGGCUGUUGGUGAGGUAACGGCUCACCAAACCUAGGAUCGGUAAGGGCCUUGAAAGAGGUAGCCCUGAGAAGGACACUGAGAAACUGGUCCUAGCCCUACGGGGUGCAGCAGGCGCGAAACCUUUACAAUACACGAAAGUGUGAUAAAGGGAUCCCAAGUGCUUAUGCAUUGCAUAGGCUUUUCUCAAGAGUAAAUAUCUUGGGGAAUAAGUGGUGGGUAAGACUGGUGCCAGCCGCCGCGGUAACUCCAGCGCCACGAGUGGCAAUCGCUAUUAUUGGGCCUAAAGCGUCCGUAGCCGGUUUGUUAAAUCUCUUGUGAAAUCGUUGAGCCCAACUCAACGGCAUGCAGGAGACACUAGCAAACUAGGAACCAGGAGGAGUCAGAGGUAUUUUUGGGGGAGCGGUAAAAUGCUAUAAUCCCAGAAGGACCACCUGUGGCGAUGGCGUCUGACUAGAACGGAUUCGACGGUGAGGGACGAAAGCCAGGGGAGCAAACCGGAUUAGAUACCCGAGUAGUCCUGGCCGUAAACUUAGCGAGCAAGGUGUUGCACAUUCUUCGGGAGUGUGCAGUGUCGAAGAGAAGUCGUUAAGCUCGCCGCCUGGGUAGUACGGUCGCAAGACUGAAACUUAAAGGAAUUGGCGGGGGAGCACCACAAGGUGUGCGGCGUGCGGUUUAAUCUAACUCAACGCAGAAAAUCUCACCAGAGGCGACGGCAGGAUGAAAGUCAGAUUAAAGGUUUUACUUGACGAGCCGAGAGGUAGUGCAUGGCCGCCGUCAGCUCGUGCCGUAAGGUGUCCUGUUAAGUCAGGUAACGAGCGAGACCUGUACUCACAAUUGCUAACAGAUUCUUCGGAAUGACUGAGCACAUUGUGGGGACUGCCCUGGAAACAGGGAGGAAGGUGCAGGCAACGGUAGGUCUGUAUGCUCCGAAUCUUCUGGGCCACACGCGCGCAACAAUGGUAAGGACAAUGGGCUGCAACUCCGAAAGGAGAAGCUAAUCCUCGAAACCUUAUCUUAGUUCAGAUUGAGGUUUGUAACUCAGCCUCAUGACGAUGGAAUCCCUAGUAAUCGGGUCUCAUUACAACCCGGUGAAUAUGUCCCUGCUCCUUGUACACACCGCCCGUCAAAUCAACCGAGCAGGGUUUAGGUAAGAUUUAGUUUAUUGAUUGAAUCGAACCUAAGCUCAGUGAGGUGGGUUAAGUCGUCACAAGGUA